rnacentral:tRNA from 1 species
AUUAAAGUAGCUUAAAUUUAGAGCGUUGCAUUGAAGAUGCAAAUGUAGAGUUUCUCUUUAGUG